AACGAGACCUUAACCUGCUAAAUAGCCAGUCUAGCUUUGGCUGGUCGCCGGCUUCGUAGAGGGACUAUCGGCUCAAGCCGAUGGAAGUUUGAGGCAAUAACAGGUCUGUGAUGCCCUUAGAUGUUCUGGGCCGCACGCGCGCUACGCUGACAGAGCCAACGAGUUCUUCACCUUGGCCGGAAGGUCUGGGUAAUCUUGUGAAACUCU
rnacentral:rRNA from 1 species